rnacentral:rRNA from 1 species
AGUGAACGCUGGCGGUAGGCCUAACACAUGCAAGUCGAACGGCAGCACAGGAGAGCUUGCUCUCUGGGUGGCGAGUGGCGGACGGGUGAGGAAUACAUCGGAAUCUACUUUUUCGUGGGGGAUAACGUAGGGAAACUUACGCUAAUACCGCAUACGACCUACGGGUGAAAGCAGGGGACCUUCGGGCCUUGCGCGAUUGAAUGAGCCGAUGUCGGAUUAGCUAGUUGGCGGGGUAAAGGCCCACCAAGGCGACGAUCCGUAGCUGGUCUGAGAGGAUGAUCAGCCACAAUGGAACUGAGACACGGUCCAGACUCCUACGGGAUGCAGCAGUGGGGAAUAUUGGACAAUGGGCGCAAGCCUGAUCCAGCCAUACCGCGUGGGUGAAGAAGGCCUUCGGGUUGUAAAGCCCUUUUGUUGGGAAAGAAAUCCAGCUGGCUAAUACCCGGUUGGGAUGACGGUACCCAAAGAAUAAGCACCGGCUAACUUCGUGCCAGCAGCCGCGGUAA